rnacentral:rRNA from 1 species
GGUCAAGUGAAGAAGCGCAUACGGUGGAUGCCUUGGCAGUCAGAGGCGAUGAAAGACGUGGUAGCCUGCGAAAAGCUUCGGGGAGUCGGCAAACAGACUGUGAUCCGGAGAUGUCUGAAUGGGGGAACCCAGCCAUCAUAAGAUGGUUAUCUUGUACUGAAUACAUAGGUGCAAGAGGCGAACCAGGGGAACUGAAACAUCUAAGUACCCUGAGGAAAAGAAAUCAACCGAGAUUCCCUUAGUAGUGGCGAGCGAACGGGGACCAGCCCUUAAGUUGUAUUGAGAUUAGCGGAACGUUCUGGAAAGGACGGCCAUAGUGGGUGAUAGCCCUGUACGCGAAAAUCCCUUUGCAAUGAAAUCGAGUAGGACGGGGCACGAGAAACCUUGUCUGAAUAUGGGGGGACCAUCCUCCAAGGCUAAAUACUACUGACUGACCGAUAGUGAACCAGUACCGUGAGGGAAAGGCGAAAAGAACCGCGGAGAGCGGAGUGAAAUAGAUCCUGAAACCGUAUGCGUACAAGCAGUGGGAGCCCACUUUGUUGGGUGACUGCGUACCUUUUGUAUAAUGGGUCAGCGACUUAUUUUCAGUGGCGAGCUUAACCGAAUAGGGGAGGCGUAGCGAAAGCGAGUCUUAAUAGGGCGUCUAGUCGCUGGGAAUAGACCCGAAACCGGGCGAUCUAUCCAUGGGCAGGUUGAAGGUUGGGUAACACUAACUGGAGGACCGAACCGACUACCGUUGAAAAGUUAGCGGAUGACCUGUGGAUCGGAGUGAAAGGCUAAUCAAGCUCGGAGAUAGCUGGUUCUCCUCGAAAGCUAUUUAGGUAGCGCCUCAUGUAUCACUGUAGGGGGUAGAGCACUGUUUCGGCUAGGGGGUCAUCCCGACUUACCAAACCGAUGCAAACUCCGAAUACCUACAAGUGCCGAGCAUGGGAGACACACGGCGGGUGCUAACGUCCGUCGUGAAAAGGGAAACAACCCAGACCGUCAGCUAAGGUCCCAAAGUCAUGGUUAAGUGGGAAACGAUGUGGGAAGGCUUAGACAGCUAGGAGGUUGGCUUAGAAGCAGCCACCCUUUAAAGAAAGCGUAAUAGCUCACUAGUCGAGUCGGCCUGCGCGGAAGAUGUAACGGGGCUCAAACCAUGCACCGAAGCUACGGGUAUCAUCUUAUGAUGAUGCGGUAGAGGAGCGUUCUGUAAGCCUGUGAAGGUGAGUUGAGAAGCUUGCUGGAGGUAUCAGAAGUGCGAAUGCUGACAUGAGUAACGACAAUGGGUGUGAAAAACACCCACGCCGAAAGACCAAGGUUUCCUGCGCAACGUUAAUCGACGCAGGGUUAGUCGGUCCCUAAGGCGAGGCUGAAAAGCGUAGUCGAUGGAAAACAGGUUAAUAUUCCUGUACUUCUGGUUAUUGCGAUGGAGGGACGGAGAAGGCUAGGCCAGCCUGGCGUUGGUAGUCCAGGUUUAAGGUGGUAGGCUGAGAUCUUAGGUAAAUCCGGGAUCUUAAGGCCGAGAGCUGAUGACGAGUGUUCUUUUAGAACAUGAAGUGGUUGAUGCCAUGCUUCCAAGAAAAGCUUCUAAGCUUCAGGUAACCAGGAACCGUACCCCAAACCGACACAGGUGGUUGGGUAGAGAAUACCAAGGCGCUUGAGAGAACUCGGGUGAAGGAACUAGGCAAAAUGGCACCGUAACUUCGGGAGAAGGUGCGCCGGUGAGGGUGAAGCAUUUACUGCGUAAGCCCACGCCGGUCGAAGAUACCAGGCCGCUGCGACUGUUUAUUAAAAACACAGCACUCUGCAAACACGAAAGUGGACGUAUAGGGUGUGACGCCUGCCCGGUGCCGGAAGGUUAAUUGAUGGGGUUAGCGCAAGCGAAGCUCUUGAUCGAAGCCCCGGUAAACGGCGGCCGUAACUAUAACGGUCCUAAGGUAGCGAAAUUCCUUGUCGGGUAAGUUCCGACCUGCACGAAUGGCGUAACGAUGGCGGCGCUGUCUCCACCCGAGACUCAGUGAAAUUGAAAUCGCUGUGAAGAUGCAGUGUAUCCGCGGCUAGACGGAAAGACCCCGUGAACCUUUACUAUAGCUUUGCACUGGACUUUGAAUUUGCUUGUGUAGGAUAGGUGGGAGGCUUUGAAGCGUGGACGCCAGUCUGCGUGGAGCCAACCUUGAAAUACCACCCUGGCAACUUUGAGGUUCUAACUCAGGUCCGUUAUCCGGAUCGAGGACAGUGUAUGGUGGGUAGUUUGACUGGGGCGGUCUCCUCCUAAAGAGUAACGGAGGAGUACGAAGGUGCGCUCAGACCGGUCGGAAAUCGGUCGUAGAGUAUAAAGGCAAAAGCGCGCUUGACUGCGAGACAGACACGUCGAGCAGGUACGAAAGUAGGUCUUAGUGAUCCGGUGGUUCUGUAUGGAAGGGCCAUCGCUCAACGGAUAAAAGGUACUCCGGGGAUAACAGGCUGAUACCGCCCAAGAGUUCAUAUCGACGGCGGUGUUUGGCACCUCGAUGUCGGCUCAUCACAUCCUGGGGCUGAAGCCGGUCCCAAGGGUAUGGCUGUUCGCCAUUUAAAGUGGUACGCGAGCUGGGUUUAGAACGUCGUGAGACAGUUCGGUCCCUAUCUGCCGUGGACGUUUGAGAUUUGAGAGGGGCUGCUCCUAGUACGAGAGGACCGGAGUGGACGAACCUCUGGUGUUCCGGUUGUCACGCCAGUGGCAUUGCCGGGUAGCUAUGUUCGGAAAAGAUAACCGCUGAAAGCAUCUAAGCGGGAAACUUGCCUCAAGAUGAGAUCUCACUGGAACCUUGAGUUCCCUGAAGGGCCGUCGAAGACUACGACGUUGAUAGGUUGGGUGUGUAAGCGCUGUGAGGCGUUGAGCUAACCAAUACUAAUUGCCCGUGAGGCUUGACCAU